GCACUGCUGAGGAGUCCCAUAAUAGGAAGGAACGGCCGUCCAGUGC
rfam:Schistosoma rodhaini strain Burundi genome assembly, scaffold: SROB_scaffold0001267